CAUGUCCUUUUGAUAUUAAUUUAAGGUCUAAUCUGCUCAAUGAUUAUUAUUAAAUGGCCGUGGUAUAUUGACUGUGCAAAGGUAGCAUAAUAAUUAGUUUUUUUAUUGGAAACUGGUAUGAAUGGUUGGACAAGGGAUUUACUGUCUCCUUGAUAUUUAUUUUGAAUUUAACUUUUUAGUAAAAAGGCUAAAGUUUGUAUUAAAGACGAGAAGACCCUAUAGAGUUUGACAUAUUUGAUUUUGGGGGUUUUAAGGGAUUUUUUUACUUUCAUUUCUUUUUUGUUUAGUUGGGGUGAUUAGGGGAUUGAUUUAACUCUCUUAUUUAUUUUUUACUAAUGAGUAUUUGUUUUGUCUAAAUUUUUUAAGUUUAAAUUAAAUUACCUUAGGGAUAACAGCGUUAUUUCUUUUUAGAGUUCUUAUUGUUAAAGAAGUUUGCGACCUCGAUGUUGGAUUAAAAUUUAUGUUGGGUGUAGUAGUUCAAACAUUUAAGUCUGUUCGACUUUUAAAAUUUUACAUGAUCUGAGU
rnacentral:rRNA from 1 species